UGCAAGUGAGUCAGGGACAGAGCUCUUUGAUAGGAGGAGGAAUUGGGACUGGAGGAAGAACGCGUCCCACUGCUUAAACUUAAUCAGCACUGAGAAGAUUGUGAAGAUUUUUUUGUCACCAUGACAAGCUGGAGAAGAGGAGCAAGCUGGGCUGCAGCAGGGGAAGGAGAGCUGACGUGACAGGCUCAGCCCAGGCGUCAAACUUCCCGAUGGCUGGAGAGAGAGGAGAUGAGUUUUGCUCUCCCUACUGCCAAGGACGCAGUGGCUGUUUGCUGUAUAUUAGCUAAUGAAGAAAUAUUACACAGCAAAAGAGCGGGACUAAUUUCCAGUGCUUUGGCAACUGGCUAUGCCUCAGAAGCAGUGAAAGAAGAGGUCUGGAAACAGCACGGUCUGCAAGUCAUUGCCCAGAGUGUUUGGCAAACUUGUCAGGCUCUGUUUGGAGUAUAUGGGGAGCAAACUGGAUUACAGCAGCCAGAGGAGGGACAAUGUGCCUGCUGGGAUCUCUCUAUGAGGCUCUCCAGUUCCCUGCAUCACUUGUUUUUGGAGCAAAGCAAAGUCCUGCCCAGGUAAAGCGGCACCAUCUGUUGUGUAGGACUUCAGAAAAAAUAUGGAUGUACUUUAAGAAGAAAAUCCCAACUAUUCUUCGUAAAUCACUUCCAUGGGAUUUUCUGCUUAGUGCUUGAUCAGUUUAAAAGGACCAGGCUUUUGGCUAAGGAGCAGAAAACAAAAGCCAAUGUUGGCAGAAAUUUAGAAGAUGCAAAGAAAACAUUGGGGACCAGAGGACUUUCAGGAAAUAAUGUGAAUGUUUCUGACUGAUGGGACACCCAGCGAUGCAGGGCUCCUUGUUAGUAGCUCUGCAAAUUACUGAGGGGCCUGACCUCCCCCACUGCACUGUGUCCCUGACCCACUCCCAUGGUUAGUUCCAUUGACUUCAGUGAACAGCUCUGCAUGGUGCUCUGCAGUGCACACAUAUGGCUGGGUGUGAGAUGGCCAGGAGAGAAAUAGCAGCUUGAUUUUCCAACUCCCAUCCCCAAAACUUUGGAGUCUUUACCUCCCUGAACAAGUUUACUAUUGGCUGAGUGUCUUUGCAGAUGGUUUGGAGCAAAAUGAUCUGUAAGGUUUCUUCCCACCCAAACCACUCUCUAAUUCUGUGUCUUGAA